UACGUAGGGUGCGAGCGUUGUCCGGAAUUAUUGGGCGUAAAGGGCUCGUAGGCGGUCUGUCGCGUCGAAAGUGAAAACCCAGGGCUUAACCCUGGGCCUGCUUCCGAUACGGGCAGACUAGAGGUAUGCAGGGGAGACUGGAAUUCCUGGUGUAGCGGUGAAAUGCGCAGAUAUCAGGAGGAACACCGAUGGCGAAGGCAGGUCUCUGGGCCGAUACUGACGCUGAGGAGCGAAAGCGUGGGGAGCGAACAGG
rnacentral:rRNA from 1 species